rnacentral:rRNA from 2 species
GGUUAAGCGACUAAGCGUACACGGUGGAUGCCCUGGCAGUCAGAGGCGAUGAAGGACGUGCUAAUCUGCGAAAAGCGUCGGUAAGGUGAUAUGAACCGUUAUAACCGGCGAUGUCCGAAUGGGGAAACCCAGUGCAAUUCGUUGCACUAUCGUUAACUGAAUACAUAGGUUAACGAGGCGAACCGGGGGAACUGAAACAUCUAAGUACCCCGAGGAAAAGAAAUCAACCGAGAUUCCCCCAGUAGCGGCGAGCGAACGGGGAGCAGCCCAGAGUCUGAAUCAGCUUGUGUGUUAGUGGAACGGUCUGGAAAGUCCGACGGUACAGGGUGAUAGUCCCGUACACCAAAAUGCACAGGCUGUGAACUCGAAGAGUAGGGCGGGACACGUGGUAUCCUGUCUGAAUAUGGGGGGACCAUCCUCCAAGGCUAAAUACUCCUGACUGACCGAUAGUGAACCAGUACCGUGAGGGAAAGGCGAAAAGAACCCCGGCGAGGGGAGUGAAAAAGAACCUGAAACCGUGUACGUACAAGCAGUGGGAGCACCUUCGGGUGUGACUGCGUACCUUUUGUAUAAUGGGUCAGCGACUUAUAUUCUGUAGCAAGGUUAACCGUAUAGGGGAGCCGCAGGGAAACCGAGUCUUAACUGGGCGUUAAGUUGCAGGGUAUAGACCCGAAACCCGGUGAUCUAGCCAUGGGCAGGUUGAAGGUUGGGUAACACUAACUGGAGGACCGAACCGACUAAUGUUGAAAAAUUAGCGGAUGACUUGUGGCUGGGGGUGAAAGGCCAAUCAAACCGGGAGAUAGCUGGUUCUCCCCGAAAGCUAUUUAGGUAGCGCCUCGUGAAUUCAUCUUCGGGGGUAGAGCACUGUUUCGGCUAGGGGGUCAUCCCGACUUACCAACCCGAUGCAAACUACGAAUACCGAAGAAUGUUAUCACGGGAGACACACGGCGGGUGCUAACGUCCGUCGUGAAGAGGGAAACAACCCAGACCGCCAGCUAAGGUCCCAAAGUCAUGGUUAAGUGGGAAACGAUGUGGGAAGGCACAGACAGCCAGGAUGUUGGCUUAGAAGCAGCCAUCAUUUAAAGAAAGCGUAAUAGCUCACUGGUCGAGUCGGCCUGCGCGGAAGAUGUAACGGGGCUAAACCAUGCACCGAAGCUGCGGCAGCGACACUAUGUGUUGUUGGGUAGGGGAGCGUUCUGUAAGCCUGCGAAGGUGACCUGUGAGGGUUGCUGGAGGUAUCAGAAGUGCGAAUGCUGACAUAAGUAACGAUAAAGCGGGUGAAAAGCCCGCUCGCCGGAAGACCAAGGGUUCCUGUCCAACGUUAAUCGGGGCAGGGUGAGUCGACCCCUAAGGCGAGGCCGAAAGGCGUAGUCGAUGGGAAACAGGUUAAUAUUCCUGUACUUGGUGUUACUGCGAAGGGGGGACGGAGAAGGCUAUGUUAGCCGGGCGACGGUUGUCCCGGUUUAAGCAUGUAGGCUGGUUAUCCAGGCAAAUCCGGAUAAUCAAGGCUGAGGUGUGAUGACGAGGCACUACGGUGCUGAAGUAACAAAUGCCCUGCUUCCAGGAAAAGCCUCUAAGCAUCAGGUAACAUUAAAUCGUACCCCAAACCGACACAGGUGGUCAGGUAGAGAAUACCAAGGCGCUUGAGAGAACUCGGGUGAAGGAACUAGGCAAAAUGGUGCCGUAACUUCGGGAGAAGGCACGCUGGUGUGUAGGUGAAGUCCCUGCGGAUGGAGCUGAGACCAGUCGAAGAUACCAGCUGGCUGCAACUGUUUAUUAAAAACACAGCACUGUGCAAACACGAAAGUGGACGUAUACGGUGUGACGCCUGCCCGGUGCCGGAAGGUUAAUUGAUGGGGUUAUCCGUAAGGAGAAGCUCUUGAUCGAAGCCCCGGUAAACGGCGGCCGUAACUAUAACGGUCCUAAGGUAGCGAAAUUCCUUGUCGGGUAAGUUCCGACCUGCACGAAUGGCGUAAUGAUGGCCAGGCUGUCUCCACCCGAGACUCAGUGAAAUUGAACUCGCUGUGAAGAUGCAGUGUACCCGCGGCAAGACGGAAAGACCCCGUGAACCUUUACUAUAGCUUGACACUGAACAUUGAGCCUUGAUGUGUAGGAUAGGUGGGAGGCUUUGAAGCGUGGACGCCAGUCUGCGUGGAGCCAACCUUGAAAUACCACCCUUUAAUGUUUGAUGUUCUAACGUUGGCCCCUUACCGGGGUUGCGGACAGUGUCUGGUGGGUAGUUUGACUGGGGCGGUCUCCUCCCAAAGCGUAACGGAGGAGCACGAAGGUUAGCUAAUCCUGGUCGGACAUCAGGAGGUUAGUGCAAUGGCAUAAGCUAGCUUGACUGCGAGCGUGACGGCGCGAGCAGGUGCGAAAGCAGGUCAUAGUGAUCCGGUGGUUCUGAAUGGAAGGGCCAUCGCUCAACGGAUAAAAGGUACUCCGGGGAUAACAGGCUGAUACCGCCCAAGAGUUCAUAUCGACGGCGGUGUUUGGCACCUCGAUGUCGGCUCAUCACAUCCUGGGGCUGAAGUAGGUCCCAAGGGUAUGGCUGUUCGCCAUUUAAAGUGGUACGCGAGCUGGGUUUAGAACGUCGUGAGACAGUUCGGUCCCUAUCUGCCGUGGGCGCUGGAGAAUUGAGGGGGGCUGCUCCUAGUACGAGAGGACCGGAGUGGACGCAUCACUGGUGUUCGGGUUGUCAUGCCAAUGGCACUGCCCGGUAGCUAAAUGCGGAAGAGAUAAGUGCUGAAAGCAUCUAAGCACGAAACUUGCCCCGAGAUGAGUUCUCCCUGAGACUUUAAGUCUCCUGAAGGAACGUUAAAGACGAUGACGUUGAUAGGCCGGGUGUGUAAGCGCAGCGAUGCGUUGAGCUAACCGGUACUAAUGAACCGUGAGGCUUAACCUU